rnacentral:lncRNA from 1 species
GUGGUGGCUCAGUGUUCACUCUGAAAAAUGAAAAAUUGCCCAUUUUUGUGAAAAAGUUCUACUGAUAUGUGAAGGCUGAGUUCUAUUGGAACCAAGUCAUGACACCAGAAGGGAAGAGAAGUCAUUCAUCAUGAGGUGGAAAUAUCUCGCUCUGUGGUCCAAGCUGGAGUGCAGUGGCGGGAUCUCACUCACUUCAACCUCCACCUCCCAAGUUCAAGCAAAUCUCCUGCCUCAGCCUCAUGAGUAGCUGGGAUUACAGGCAUCCACCACCACAGAUGGCUAAUUUUUUCUUUGUAUACUUUUAUUUAAUUCGGCUUAGGUUACUUGUUUAUUAGUAGUAGUUUUGCAUCUAUGGGAUUGUUGUAUAAAAUAAAUGGUUUAAAUAUGUAGGA